AUUGAACGCUGGCGGCAGGCCUAACACAUGCAAGUCGAACGAGUGGCGGACGGGUGAGUAAUGUCUGGGAAACUGCCCGAUGGAGGGGGAUAACUACUGGAAACGGUAGCUAAUACCGCAUACCAUCGGAUGUGCCCAGAUGGGAUUAGCUUGUAGGUGAGGUAACGGCUAACCUAGGCGACGAGCCCUAGCUGGUCUGAGAGGAUGACCAGUAACACGGGAACUGAGACACGGGCCAGCCACCGACGGGAGGCAGCAGUGGUGAAUAUGGCACACGGGGCGUAAGCCUGAUGCAGCCAUGACGCGUGGAUGAAGAAGGCCUUCGGGUUGUAAAGUACUUGCAGCGGGGAGGCGUUACCCGCAGAAGAAGUACCGGCUAACUCCGUGCCAGCAGCCGCGGUAAUUC
rnacentral:rRNA from 1 species